rnacentral:rRNA from 1 species
GGUUAAGCGACUAAGCGUACACGGUGGAUGCCCUGGCAGUCAGAGGCGAUGAAGGACGUGCUAAUCUGCGAUAAGCGUCGGUGAGGUGAUAUGAACCGUUAUAACCGGCGAUUUCCGAAUGGGGAAACCCAGUGUGUUUCGACACACUAUCAUUAACUGAAUCCAUAGGUUAAUGAGGCGAACCGGGGGAACUGAAACAUCUAAGUACCCCGAGGAAAAGAAAUCAACCGAGAUUCCCCCAGUAGCGGCGAGCGAACGGGGAGGAGCCCAGAGCCUGAAUCAGUGUGUGUGUUAGUGGAAGCGUCUGGAAAGGCGCGCGAUACAGGGUGACAGCCCCGUACACAAAAAUGCACAUACUGUGAGCUCGAUGAGUAGGGCGGGACACGUGGUAUCCUGUCUGAAUAUGGGGGGACCAUCCUCCAAGGCUAAAUACUCCUGACUGACCGAUAGUGAACCAGUACCGUGAGGGAAAGGCGAAAAGAACCCCGGCGAGGGGAGUGAAAAAGAACCUGAAACCGUGUACGUACAAGCAGUGGGAGCCUCUUAAUGGGGUGACUGCGUACCUUUUGUAUAAUGGGUCAGCGACUUAUAUUCUGUAGCAAGGUUAACCGAAUAGGGGAGCCGAAGGGAAACCGAGUCUUAACUGGGCGUUAAGUUGCAGGGUAUAGACCCGAAACCCGGUGAUCUAGCCAUGGGCAGGUUGAAGGUUGGGUAACACUAACUGGAGGACCGAACCGACUAAUGUUGAAAAAUUAGCGGAUGACUUGUGGCUGGGGGU